rnacentral:sRNA from 1 species
GAGCGCCAGCGAGAGAACGUUGCCGCAGGCAACGGCCCGAAGGGCGAGGAGCGAUAGCGACGAGUUAUCCUUCCCCCUCUAUUC